CUGCACUGCUAAGUGACCAGCUGGUCUUUCCCUGACCUCCUCGGUCUCAUUCCGGUGCAAGAUGAAUUCCUUCUAGCAGAAGGGCCAGGCUCUCCCUGUGGUCUGUCUCUUUCGAAAGCUGGGUACAAGC
ensembl:snoRNA